AUGAAUUCUGGUAUGCUGGGUAGUACAGAACCCAAUGGCCUAGCUCCAAGUUGGACAGACAUGAACAUCAAGCCUGUUCCUCCUGGAUCCUCAGCUCCACAGACAUCUCUUCUUACCCGGUCUGCACCAACCAUCAUGGAACCUUAUCUGGAUGCAAGUUCCCUUCUUCAAGUGCGAACGAACAUUCACAAUCGGUUGACAAGUACCAAGGAGACAGAUGAAUGGGGACAGAAGGGUUCACCAGAUUCACAAAAAAUCAGAACACCAAGAACAUUGGCUCCAUUGAAGAGAGGAUGCAGAAAUAGUCCUGUUCUAUUGUGUCUGAAAGCACCUUGUCCACUCAAACCUAUUGGUUUGUUUCCUCAGUCUACUGACCGCUCUGUAGAGACUGAAAAGGCAUCCAGAGAGGACAUCGAAGGACAAAGAGAUAGAGAUGACCGUGAAGGAAGCUGCCCCAGUGGUAGACAAGGACCACUGGGCAUAGAGGACACGAAUAGGGACAAUAGUGAUCAAGAGAGCGUUGUGGACUCAGAAGUCCUGGAUGGAUCAUCUCGAUUCGAUUUUCGGAACUCAUCUGUGUUUGAGUGUGCAGCAAACCCAAGACUUGAGGUUGCCAAAGUGUGUGAGGAGCCUACUGGAGUAACAUUUGAGGAAGGUAUUCGUAUCAGAUCUCUGUUUGAUGAUAAGGAAAACUGUGAAUUUCAGCACACUAACACAGAAAUAACACGGGCUGCUGAAGACCCUCAGAUGAACUAUGCAGAUGAGGCACAAGCUGAACAGAAGAUUGUCUGCUCUGAGAAUCCUUCAAUAGAAGCAAGCAGAGCUGAGCAAUCACAUCCAGAGUCACAUCCCUCAACUGGUGACACUAGAGACAUUGUGAAUGAAGUCAAAAUAAGAAACUCACAUGGUGAGGGAGAUACUGAGCAUCUUCUAGUGCCAACUGUGAAUGCCACAAUGGCAAAGGAAGAACAUGUGCCAGAAGCCAAGAGUCAAAUUACAAGAUUUAAGAAAGACAGAAAGGGAAGCACUCUUUUCCAAACCAACAAUUCCUUUAAUGUCUUGGCAUUUAAACCCCCAAAUAAGAAAACUUCAGCUGUUCCAUUCCAUGUAAAGAAUCAAGAUGGAAAACAUGAUUUAAUCAACAAAAAUGUGUCAAAGGGUAUUCACACAAACAUAGAGCAAGCAGGCACUCGAAAGCGAGUUACGGAGUUAGUAAAACCAAAGAGGGGAAAUGCUGACAAGAAACGUCUGAGUAAUAUAAGAUGUUUAAGUCAAAAGCAUCUCAACCAAAAGGAGCAGAAUAGAACAAAACCUCCCCACCUUCCCAAGUCAGAGAUUGUAGGGCCACUUAAGGCCAAAUCAGCUGUGGAUUAUAUAACUUACAAUGACAUGUUUCAUGAGAUCAUGAAGGGGGACGAUGGGCUAGCCAUUUUUGAGAUGUUUGCAACCCCACUGUAUGACAACCUCAGAGUGACAAGGUCCUCUGAAAGACAAAGGCAGGUGCAGUCAGCUCCACCAAUCAAGACCCAUAUCCAAAACUUCAAGAACAGAUGCCCCAAGAUAGUGGAGAGAAAGAAAAAGAAACAGGCCGAUAAGAGUAAACAGAAAAGAAAUAGGGACAUUGUAGUAUCAGGAAUGCCUUGCAAUGCACUAAUUUUGAAAGAAGACAACACUGAAUCAUUUCCCAAUUCAAGCCCUAUGAAGCCUGAGGCGAUCUCAUGUGUUGAGGCAAAUGAAGAAAUUGACGCACCCCAGGGUGAUGAGCAGACUCUGAAAGGGCAUGUAUUGUCAAUAAUUGAAGAAGCUCUGUCUCAAACUAGCUCAAAGGCACAUAUGCUUGGCAAUCAGUUGCAAGGAAAAUAUCUCGGCAUGUCUGCUGAGAAAAGGAAAGCUUCCCUUCAGCUCACUGCAAGUCAUCAGGACGUCCCUGAAGAAUCUGAGGUGAAGGUUGAUCCAGACACAGAGUGCAGUCAAAGUUCAAAGUUCACCAGUUCACAAGUGUGUCCUGCACAGCCAAAGGUCAACACUUGGACCUCAAGCAGCAAGGACCGAACAUGCCUGACUCUAUUUCAGACGUAUGGGGCUGAGGGAGAGGAGGAACCUCUCACAGAUGAGCUGAUGCAGUGCCUGGUGGAUGAGUUAAUAUCACUGGAGGAGAGAGAAAUAGAGACUGACCAUUCUGAAAACACCAGAGUCCUCAGGCCCAGCGAAGAAGCUCCACUGAUGAUGCAACAAACUUUCCACAAGGUACACUUGCAAAUUCAUUGUGUAUUACUGUUUGACUGCAUACAGAUAUCAUCCCUUUGA
rnacentral:lncRNA from 1 species